rnacentral:rRNA from 1 species
AGAGUUUGAUCAUGGCUCAGAUUGAACGCUGGCGGCAUGCCUUACACAUGCAAGUCGAACGGUAACAGGUCUUUCGGGAUGCUGACGAGUGGCGAACGGGUGAGUAAUACAUCGGAACGUGCCUAGUAGUGGGGGAUAACUACUCGAAAGAGUGGCUAAUACCGCAUGAGAUCUAUGGAUGAAAGCAGGGGACCUUCGGGCCUUGUGCUACUAGAGCGGCCGAUGGCAGAUUAGGUAGUUGGUGGGAUAAAAGCUUACCAAGCCUGCGAUCUGUAGCUGGUCUGAGAGGACGAUCAGCCACACUGGGACUGAGACACGGCCCAGACUCCUACGGGAGGCAGCAGUGGGGAAUUUUGGACAAUGGGGGAAACCCUGAUCCAGCAAUGCCGCGUGCAGGAUGAAGGCCUUCGGGUUGUAAACUGCUUUUGUACGGAACGAAAAGUCUUGGGCUAAUACCCUGGGAUCAUGACGGUACCGUAAGAAUAAGCACCGGCUAACUA